UUUCAGUUUUGUCCGGUGAUGGUUUCGUUGAGUCUAAUGCCGGUCGUUUUCGGGAGAAAUCACACGGUUAACCGAUUUUCUAUGUCCAUGAUGUGAAACACAUAAUGUGAUAUACUUGAUGUAUGUGGACAUGCCAGACAUAUAGUUGGUGUAGCUAGGGGUACAUUAUUAAACUUCAGAUGUGUGACCAUGUUUUGCGGCAUACCUCGUGUAGCUCGCCGUGUUGUUGUCGUCGUUGGCCUUCUGAUUCCAAUUCCAAGGUAUAUUUGAGGUGUAGGUUGAAUUUUUAUUUCUGGGUUUCUAUCGAUUUAGGUCUUCUCUCUCUUUUUCUUCGGUUUUGUGAUCUAUUCUAUAGCUCUGUCUCUGUAUUUCUCAGCUCUAUCUUUAAGAGGUGCUUUGUUUAUGUGUCUUUAUUGGCUCAUUUUGGGUGAUUUUCUGUCUCUGAUUAUUUCUUUGGUUGUAUCUAAUAAACCCUUUUCGAUUUUCUCCUGUUGAAUUUCUCUGGUUCUGAGUCACCAGAGCAAGUCGACAUAAGAUUGUUGUCUCUCAACAAGAGUAGAUGUCCUGUGUCAAUUGCCAAAAAUGUCUCUCGUUUCAGGUCGAGUUUUGUUAUUAGACGAACUUUUGCAAAAUGAGCUUCAUGGACAAGGACCAAUAAUGUAGAUAAGAAGCGUCUCCUCUCAUCUCAAAACGCUGGCCGCCGAUGUCGUCACUGCUUCUCCUUGUCGAUCAAUAGCCGCCUCCGCUAGUCCCAUUGGUUUCUAUACUCUUGUUUCUCUGAAUUUUUUUUUGACUAUGUAUGGUCAGAUCUAAAAGAAGGAAGGAAACAGCGAGGAUAUGGGAGGAAUAGGAUUCGUAGCUGUGAAGACGAUGGCUGGUAACAAAACUAUAAAGGAUUGUCAUUUCUAGCUGAGAUUGUCAUUCCGCUAACGAAACUAUAAAGAAUUGUCAUUCCGCGACUAUUAGCUUUGUCAGGUUAUUCUUACAGCUGCCUUUUCCUGCAUUGUCAUUUCUAGCUGAGAUUUUUUAUCUCGAUAUUGAGAAAUGGGACGUUGUACGCGACAUGUGAGACUUUCUAUAGUGUGUCAAAUGAAAAUAUGUACAAUUGUUUCUUGGAUCCCUUUUUAUCUCCUUCUCCAGGUGUUAGCUAUCUUGAAAUUUCUUUUUCCAAUUUUUUUUUGUUCAAAUGCCUGAAGUGUUUCGUUUAUUUUCUUCUCAACUAAUCGCAAAAAUUCUAAAUUCUUAAGGAUACGGAAGUAAACAAAAGGUUCUCUGCAAUAAGUGAUAUUCUAUAUCUACUCGAUUCCAUGUGCUACCUGCUCAGAAUGGGAGGAUCUUCCGUUCAAGACCAGCUGGCCACUGUGGUUCAAUUUAUGCAUGAUGUGCCUGAUGAGUCUCAUGAGCAGACGAUGAAGAUGCGGAGCUUGUGGGAGGUUGCCUGUUCUAAAGAACUUGUUCUCCCACCUCUCUUUACUCAAUCUAUUUAGUACUCUUUAUUUUCCCUACUGGUUUAAAACUCUAUUUUUUUUUCUGAAUGUUUAAAACUAAGGUUUAAUCGGAGCUUUUGGAAUUUAGUUUUGCAAUGAUAUUUGCAGGUAAA